rnacentral:rRNA from 1 species
GAUCUGGCUCAGGACGAACGCUGGCGGCGUGCCUAACACAUGCAAGUCGAGCGGGGGAAUAUUGAGCAGCUUGCUGCUUGGUAUUUCUAGCGGCGGACGGGUGAGUAACGCGUGAGCAACCUGCCUUUAUCAGGGGGAUAACGCAUCGAAAGAUGUGCUAAUACCGCGUAAGACCACAGCUUCACAUGGAGCAGGGGUCAAAGGAGCAAUCCGGAUAAAGAUGGG